AGAAAUUCGGACUAAUACCCCAUAUACCCACAGGCUGGCAUUGGUCAAUGGGGAAAGGAGCAAUCUGGUAGUGGAUGGGCAUGCKUAUCAUUAKAUAGNNGGCGGGGUAACGGCCCACCAACUCUACGAUGAUUAGGGGAUCUGAUUUGAUUAACCCCCANACUGGGACUGAKACACGGCCCAGACUCCUACGGGAGGCAGCAGUGAGGAAUAUUGGUCAAUGGCCGAAAGGCUGAACCAGCCAUGCCGCGUGCAGGACUACGGCCCUACGGGUCUUAAACUGCUUUUGAGANGGAACAAUAAGGGCUACGUGUAGUCCGACGAGCGUACCUUUCGAAUAAKCAUCGGCUAACUCCGU
rnacentral:rRNA from 1 species